CUCCGAGCCCAGAAACAAAGUCGCAUGCCCCCCCCCCCUCCGUGUUUGCUUGGAAAUUGCUGCCUGCAGCACCCCCAUUCCCGCGCAGCUCCCGCCCCCUGGGAGCCUUAAGGACUAAAUAAACAGUUGUAACUCCAAACCUUGCGCCUGCCAUCGCAGCCCUAUCCCACCCCUUUCCCCCGGUUCUGCCCCUCCUUUUUUGUUGUUGCAACUUUGUAAGAUCCCGGGAAGGUGCUGAGACUAAGGCUCAGGCCGCGCUCCGGGUCUCCGGAUCCCUGCAGGGAUUCCCGGCCGCGCAUCCUCCUCCCCUGUCCCCGAGCGCUUGGAGGUUGCCUCCUCUAUCUCUGGUCUCGCCCCCUUCCGCCUAAUCACCUCGUCCCCUUCGAUCCCCCCCACCCCGAAACCUUCACGGAAGGAAGACUUGCUGAGGGUCGUCCCGGUCUCUUGUCGGUCACAGACCCCGAAAGUUUGCCCCAGGAGGACGGCGCGCGGCGGGCGAACGGGCGAGGGGCAGCGGCGGCGCGGAGAAGCGUGGAGCUGCCGGCGCCUCCUCCCCAGACUCGGUGGCUUCAAUUGUCCUAAAAAGAAACAGAAAAGGAAAGUAUUAUACAUCUACAUAGAUAUGGACACCUACAGAGUGUGUCCCAGGAGCUUCUGCUGA
rnacentral:lncRNA from 1 species